AUUGAACGCUGGCGGCAGGCCUAACACAUGCAAGUCGAACGGUAGCACAGAGAGCUUGCUCUCGGGUGACGAGUGGCGGACGGGUGAGUAACGUCUGGGAAACUGCCCGAUGGAGGGGGAUAACUACUGGAAACGGUAGCUAAUACCGCAUAACGUCGCAAGACCAAAGGGGGGGACCUUCGGGCCUCACACCAUCGGAUGUGCCCAGAUGGGAUUAGCUAGCAGGUGGGGUAAUGGCUCACCUAGGCGACGAUCCCUAGCUGGUCUGAGAGGAUGACCAGCCACACUGGAACUGAGACACGGUCCAGACUCCUACGGGAGGCAGCAGUGGGGAAUAUUGCACAAUGGGCGCAAGCCUGAUGCAGCCAUGUCGCGUGUAUGAAGAAGGCCUUCGGGUUGUAAAGUACUUUCAGCGGGGAGGAAGGCGGUGAAGUUAAUAGCUUCACCGAUUGACGUUACCCGCAGAAGAAGCACCGGCUAACUCCGUGCCAGCCGCCGCGGUAA
rnacentral:rRNA from 1 species